rnacentral:lncRNA from 1 species
UCAAACUAUAUAAUUAAUAAUACGAUAGAAUAGCUAUGAAAUAUCAAUGAACAAUGAAAAUAAAUACUUAUUGUCUAGUGAAGAUUUGUUGCGUUCGUUGUUCUUGUUCACCAACUCGAGAAAAAUACGAUGCAAUAGUCUUUGUUCUCUUCAUCUAAUUGAAAUCAAAAUUUCACAAUUAGUAGUUGCUAGUUGAAAUCAAAAGAAAAUAAAAACUAAACUAUUAAUAAAAAAUUAAAAGAACACAUACCUUUGCUCCACU